rnacentral:lncRNA from 1 species
GCCCCAGAGAGAGGCAUGCUGAAUUAUAGGGACUAAUAUCUCCUGCCUUCUAAGAAAUUUCCUCAGUUUUCAAGUUUUGCAGAAAUUGGCAAAACCUAGCAAGAAUUAAAACAAUAUAAUCUAAUACCACAUGCUCAAUGUUUUUCUUCGUUAGAAAUAUAUCUGACUAAUGAACUCAAUGUAUUAGGUUGACAUCUUUUACUUGGGAUGCUAUGACAGAAAUGUGGGGGA